GUAGGUGGCAAGCGUUGUCCGGAAUUAUUGGGCGUAAAGCGCGCGCAGGCGGUUCUUUAAGUCUGAUGUGAAAGCCCACGGCUCAACCGUGGAGGGUCAUUGGAAACUGGAGAACUUGAGUACAGAAGAGGAAAGCGGAAUUCCACGUGUAGCGGUGAAAUGCGUAGAGAUGUGGAGGAACACCAGUGGCGAAGGCGGCUUUCUGGUCUGUAACUGACGCUGAGGCGCGAAAGCGUGGGGAGCAAACAGGAUUAGAUACCCUGGUAGUCCAUGCCGUAAACGAUGAGUGCUAAGUGUUAGGGGGUUUCCGCCCCUUAGUGCUGCAGCUAACGCAUUAAGCACUCCGCCUGGGAGUACGGCCGCAAGGCUG
rnacentral:rRNA from 1 species